AUUGAACGCUGGCGGCAUGCCUUACACAUGCAAGUCGAACGGCAGCGGGGGAGAAGCUUGCUUUUCCUGCCGGCGAGUGGCGAACGGGUGAGUAAUACAUCGGAACGUGCCCUGUAGUGGGGGAUAACUAGUCGAAAGAUUAGCUAAUACCGCAUACGACCUGAGGGAGAAAGUGGGGGACCGCAAGGCCUCAUGCUAUAGGAGCGGCCGAUGUCUGAUUAGCUAGUUGGUGGGGCAAAGGCCUACCAAGGCGACGAUCAGUAGCUGGUCUGAGAGGACGAUCAGCCACACUGGGACUGAGACACGGCCCAGACUCCUACGGGAGGCAGCAGUGGGGAAUUUUGGACAAUGGGCGAAAGCCUGAUCCAGCAAUGCCGCGUGUGUGAAGAAGGCCUUCGGGUUGUAAAGCACUUUUGUCCGGAAAGAAAUGGCUCUGGUUAAUACCUGGGGUCGAUGACGGUACCGGAAGAAUAAGGACCGGCUAACUACGUGCCAGCAGCCGCGGUAA
rnacentral:rRNA from 1 species